rnacentral:rRNA from 1 species
GUAGGUGGCAAGCGUUGUCCGGAAUUAUUGGGCGUAAAGCGCGCGCAGGCGGUUCUUUAAGUCUGAUGUGAAAGCCCACGGCUCAACCGUGGAGGGUCAUUGGAAACUGGAGAACUUGAGUACAGAAGAGGAAAGCGGAAUUCCACGUGUAGCGGUGAAAUGCGUAGAGAUGUGGAGGAACACCAGUGGCGAAGGCGGCUUUCUGGUCUGUAACUGACGCUGAGGCGCGAAAGCGUGGGGAGCAAACAGGAUUAGAUACCCUGGUAGUCCACGCCGUAAACCAUGAGUGCUAAGUGUUAGGGGGUUUCCGCCCCCCUUAGUGCUGCAGCUAACGCAUUAAGCACUCCGCCUGGGAGUACGGCCGCAAGGCUG